GACGAACGCUGGCGGCGUGCCUAAUACAUGCAAGUCGAGCGAGGAGCUUUUAGCUCCUAGCGGCGAACGGGUGAGUAACACGUGGGCAACCUGCCCGUAAGACUGGAAUAACUUCGGGAAACCGGAGCUAAUACCGGAUAAUCUUGAUCUUCGCAUGAAGGACAAGUAAAAGAUUUAUCACUUACGGAUGGGCCCGCGGUGCAUUAGCUUGUUGGUGGGGUAAUGGCCUACCAAGGCGACGAUGCAUAGCCGACCUGAGAGGGUGACCGGCCACACUGGGACUGAGACACGGCCCAGACUCCUACGGGAGGCAGCAGUAGGGAAUUUUCCGCAAUGGGCGAAAGCCUGACGGAGCAACGCCGCGUGAAUGAUGACGGCCUUCGGGUUGUAAAAUUCUGUUCUAAGGGAAGAAGUUCUGACGGUACCUUAGGAGAAAGCCACGGCUAACUACGUGCCAGCCGCCGCGGUA
rnacentral:rRNA from 1 species